UACGAAGGGGGCUAGCGUUGUUCGGAUUUACUGGGCGUAAAGCGCACGUAGGCGGAUCUUUAAGUCAGAGGUGAAAUCCCAAGGCUCAACCUUGGAACUGCCUUUGAUACUGGGGAUCUUGAGUCCGGGAGAGGUGAGUGGAACUGCGAGUGUAGAGGUGAAAUUCGUAGAUAUUCGCAAGAACACCAGUGGCGAAGGCGGCUUGCUGGGCCAGUUCUGACGCUGAGGAGCGAAAGCGUGGGGAGCGAACAGG
rnacentral:rRNA from 1 species